rnacentral:rRNA from 1 species
AACGAACGCUGGCGGCAGGCUUAACACAUGCAAGUCGAGCGCCCCGCAAGGGGAGCGGCAGACGGGUGAGUAACGCGUGGGAACGUACCCUUUGCUACGGAAUAGCUCCGGGAAACUGGAAUUAAUACCGUAUGUGCCCUACGGGGGAAAGAUUUAUCGGCAAAGGAUCGGCCCGCGUUGGAUUAGCUAGUUGGUGGGGUAAUGGCCUACCAAGGCGACGAUCCAUAGCUGGUCUGAGAGGAUGAUCAGCCACAUUGGGACUGCGACACGGCCCAAACUCCUACGGGAGGCAGCAGUGGGGAAUAUUGGACAAUGGGCGCAAGCCUGAUCCAGCCAUGCCGCGUGAGUGAUGAAGGCCUUAGGGUUGUAAAGAUCUUUCAGUGGGGAAGAUAAUGACGGUAUCCGGAGAAGAAGCCCUGGCUAACUUCGUGCCAGCAGCCGCCGUAAAAC